rnacentral:rRNA from 1 species
GAUGAACGCUGGCGGCGUGCCUAAUACAUGCAAGUCGAGCGAACAGACGAGGAGCUUGCUCCUCUGACGUUAGCGGCGGACGGGUGAGUAACACGUGGAUAACCUACCUAUAAGACUGGGAUAACUUCGGGAAACCGGAGCUAAUACCGGAUAAUAUAUUGAACCGCAUGGUUCAAUAGUGAAAGACGGUUUUGCUGUCACUUAUAGAUGGAUCCGCGCCGCAUUAGCUAGUUGGUAAGGUAACGGCUUACCAAGGCAACGAUGCGUAGCCGACCUGAGAGGGUGAUCGGCCACACUGGAACUGAGACACGGUCCAGACUCCUACGGGAGGCAGCAGUAGGGAAUCUUCCGCAAUGGGCGAAAGCUUGACGGAGCAACGCCGCGUGAGUGAUGAAGGUCUUCGGAUCGUAAAACUCUGUUAUUAGGGAAGAACAAAUGUGUAAGUAACUAUGCACGUCUUGACGGUACCUAAUCGAAAGCCACGGCUAACUACGUG